GAUGAAUGCUGGCGGCGUGCCUAAAACAUGCAAGUCGAGCGGUAACAGAAGUAGUUUACUACUUGCUGACGAGCGGCGAACGGCUGAGUAACGCGUGGGAACAUACCCCAAAGUGAGGAAUAACCGCCCGAAAGGGUGGCUAAUGCCGCAUAUGAUCUUCGGAUUAAAGCUUUCGAGCGCUUUGGGAAUGGCCUGCGUCCGAUUAGAUAGUUGGUGAGGUAAAGGCUCACCAAGUCUACGAUCGGUAACUGGUUUGAGAGGAUGAUCAGUCAGACUGGAACUGGGACACGGUCCAGACUCGUACGGGAGGCAGCAGUGGGGAAUAUUGGACAAUGGGCGAAAGCCUGAUCCAGCAAUGCCGCGUGAGUGAUGAAGGCCUUAGGGUUGUAAAGCUCUUUUACCAGGGAUGAUAAUGACAGUACCUGGAGAAUAAGCUCCGGCUAACUCCGUGCCAGCAGCCGCCGUA
rnacentral:rRNA from 1 species